CAAAAGCCUUCAGGCACAUAAAUAUUUUACAGCUGGAUUUGUUUUGAAUGGAGUAAAAAUUGUUAAUGAUUUCCUGAUUUCCAUAUUAUUGUCGGAAAGGUGAAGCAUUUCCAAAAAUCUAAUGCUAAACGACUAAAUGCUUGGGUGGGGUGAUAGCCAGUUCUGAUGACAUAGCAAAUUCACAUUGUAUGCGUAUGGCCGGUAAUAGUGAAGUCUGCAGCCAUAUUGCAGCAAUCCUAUUUUUAGCUUAGUAUGCUCAGGGCAAGAUAGACGAAGAAGAACCCAAUGUAUGUACAUAUGUUACAGCUACAUGGUUUGGAGAUAGCAACAUAUGCAUUCUCUGAUGAAAAACUAAUGAGUUUUGAAACUGUUCGGUCAGAGUGGUUGUUGUGCUCACUAAACGAAUUGAAAUAUAAGAUGGCUUUGGCAUUGUGUUGCAGUGACAUGAAAAUGGUUAUUCAUUUUUAAUUAUAAUGUACUUCUUCAUCAUGAGUAAUUAUGUAUUGGUCUUUUAAAUGUGUAUUUAUUUUUGUAAUUAGUAUCAACUUGUAAUGAUAAUAUACAUUUAUCGUUUAAGGUAUGACUAUGUUUUGACUCUAAAAUAAAUGUUUUAAAAAUCGAA